rnacentral:rRNA from 1 species
UAGGGAAUCUUCCACAAUGGACGCAAGUCUGAUGGAGCAACGCCGCGUGAGUGAAGAAGGUUUUCGGACCGUAAAGCUCUGUUGUUGGUGAAGAAGGAUAGAGGUAGUAACUGGCCUUUAUUUGACGGUAAUCAACCAGAAAGUCACGGCUAACUACGUGCCAGCAGCCGCGGUAAUACGUAGGUGCAAGCGUUGUCCGGAUUUAUUGGGCGUAAAGCGAGCGCAGGCGGAAGAAUAAGUCUGAUGUGAAAGCCCUCGGCUUAACCGAGGAAUUGCAUCGGAAACUGUUUUCUUGAGUGCAGAAGAGGAGAGUAGAACUCCAUGUGUAGCGGUGGAAUGCGUAGAUAUAUGGAAGAAUACCAGUGGCGAAGGCGGCUCUCUGGUCUGCAACUGACGCUGAGGCUCGAAAGCAUGGGUAGCGAACAGGAUUAGAUACCCUGGUAGUCCAUGCCGUAAAACGAUGAGUGCUAAGUGUUGGGAGGCUUCCGCCUCUCAAGUGCUGCAG